GUCAACUGCCACAACAGUCGUGGGGACUCAGGAAGGGAGCCAGGUCCAGGAGAUAAUAUCUGAAGGAGUCAAGCUGUUUCUUCUGUGGCUUCAAGCACUUCAGACAAACUGUGCAGUAGAGCAGGUGCUUUUUGCUUGCCUCGUGCCUGGUUUCCCAGUGAUCAUGUCAUCCAGAGGGACCUGCACGGUGGAGAUAUUCAUCAGUCCUAACCCUGGUGUGGUGGAUGGUACUUGAUCCUUAGGCUGACCAAAGCAGAAUUUGGCAGAAAGAAGAAUGGUUUAGAGGGAAAGGUGGCUUCAUGGGACUUUGUACCAUAUUUCCAAGCCCUGGAUGCUCACUGGCCUGGAGUGUAGUGUGAGCAGGUUCCAAAGGAGGGGCAGAUGUAUUUUAAUGGAGGCCAUUUUUUAAAAACCCUUUGAACGUUGGUGAAAGAACUCCUUUUUUCCCCACUCUGGAGUAAGGAUAUAUGCACAAGAAAUCACUCCGCUCUUGCCGGCCAUAUCAGGGGAAAGGAUCACUGAGGACCAAACAUGCUUUUUUCUUCAAGUACUAUUGAACUAUAUGGUUAUUCAGCUCAGUGGUGCCAAUUUGCUCUUCUCCAAAAAGUUCAAAACAGACAACACAAGAAUAGAACAAAAUGGAUUGAAAAGAGAAAACUUUGCCACCAAGCCCUGGUA